rnacentral:rRNA from 1 species
GUUCACCUACGGGGGGCAGCAGUCGGGAAUAUUGCACAAUGGAGGAAACUCUGAUGCAGUGACACCGCGUAUAGGAAGAAGGUUUUCGGAUUGUAAACUAUUUUAGACAGGGAAGAAAAAAGACAGUACCUGUAGAAUAAGCUCCGGCUAACUACGUGCCUGCAGCCGCGGUAAUACGUAGGGAGCAAGCGUUAUCCGGAAUUAUUGGGUGUAGAGGGGGCGCAGACGGCGAUGCAAGCCAGGAGUGAAAGCCCGGGGCCCAACCCCUGGACUGCUCUUGGAACUGCGUGGCUAGAGUGCAGGAG